GAUGAACGCUGGCGGCGUGCUUAACACAUGCAAGUCGAACGGAAAGGCCCAAGCUUGCUUGGGUACUCGAGUGGCGAACGGGUGAGUAACACGUGGGCGAUCUGCCCUGCACUUCGGGAUAAGCCUGGGAAACUGGGUCUACUACCGUACAGGACGAUGCCUUGGAUGCCAUUCUGGAAAGUUUUUUCGGUGUGGGAUGAGCUUGCGGCCUAUCAGCCUGUUGGUGGGGUAAUGGCCUACCAAGGCGUCGACGGGGAGCCGGCCUGAGUGGGUGGACGGCCGGACUAGAACCGUGAGACGGGCCAGAGUGGGACGUGAGGCAGCAGUGGGGAAUAUUGGACAAAGGGAGACAGCCUGAUGGAGGGAGGCCGCGGGGGGGAUGAGGGCUUUCGGGUUGUAAGCACAUCUGGCGGGGGACGAAGCGUUUUUGUGACGGUACCUAAAGAAGAAGCACCGGCUAACUACGUG
rnacentral:rRNA from 1 species